UACGUAGGGACCAAGCGUUGUUCGGAUUUACUGGGCGUAAAGGGCGCGUAGGCGGCCUAGCAAGUCACUUGUGAAAUCUCCGGGCUUAACUCGGAACUGCCAAGUGAAACUGCUGGGCUAGAGUGCAGAAGGGGCAAUCGGAAUUCUUGGUGUAGCGGUGAAAUGCGCAGAUAUCAGGAAGAACACCCGUGGCUAAGGCGGUUCUCUAGUACGGUACUGACGCUGAGACGCGAAAGCGUGGGGAGCGAACAGG
rnacentral:rRNA from 1 species